GGCAGCAGGGCGGCUUCUGCUCCUGGGAUCGGCGGAGGGCGAGGGUCCCGGGGGCUCUGGCUUCUGCCCCGCUCUCCCCUCGGGCCCCUGGGCGGCUGCUGCUGCCCCAAAUGAGCGCUGGCUCCGCCGCUGCUGCAGACCAAGCCCAGAGCAGCCUCGUCCCCGCGGAGCCCCCUUCCUCCCCGCUCCCUCCGGAGGACCCCCAGCGCCAAGCCAAGCGGCUCCCCAUCCGGCUGCUGAAGAUGCUCAGCGCCCACGGAGGACACCUCCUCCACCCGGAAUACCUCCAGCCCCUCUCCUCCACCCCGGUCAGCCCCAUCGAGCUGGAUGCCAAAAAAAGCCCCUUGGCACUCUUGGCCCAAACCUGCUCCCAGAUUGGCAAGCCGGAUCCCCCGCCAGCUUCCAAACUCAACGCCGGAGCUUCGUCAGGCCUCUCUGGAACAGAGAAGGAGUCCAGCAGCCGCCCGGCCACCGCUGCCCUCAAGCAACUGGGCGACCCUCCUGUCGAGGACAAGUCCAGCUUCAAGCCUUAUGCCAAAGGAGGCAGCAGCAGCGGAGGAGGAGGAGGAGGAGGAGGAGGAGGGGAGCCAAGGAAGGAUGGAGGAGCCGUAGGGGCAUCCAGCCAAGGAGCCGAGAAGGCCGGCUUCCGCGUGCCCAGCAGCAAUUGCCCGCCAUUCCCUCCUCCUCACACUGUUGCUUCUUCUUCCUCAGCUUCCUCUUCUCCUGGGGGCUCCUCCCGGGGCAGUUCUCCCCAACAGGCGGAUUGCAAAGGCCCUGAGGAGAAAAAGGAGCCCGACAUGAUGGGCAAAGCCACCCCAGAGGGCAACAGCAACGAGCCUGGAGGAACUCACGUCGUGGAGGCUGGCACUGGACGUAAAUCAGAGCCCCCUCCAUCUUUGGCAGCCCCGGGCCAUGUGGCUCCAGUCUCCCCUUACAAGCCGGGCCACUCAGUCUUCCCCUUGCCCCCUUCCGGCAUCGGCUACCACGGCUCCAUUGUCGGGGCCUAUGCAGGCUACCCAUCUCAGUUCAUGCCCACUUUGGAUCCUACCAAGCCCAGCCUGGUGAGCAGUCAGUUGCCGGGGGCCUUGGGCUUGCCAGGGAAGCCCCCCAGCUCCAGCCCUUUGACGGGGGCCUCCCCGCCUUCCUUCAUGCAAGGAUUAUGCCGAGACCCCUAUUGCCUCAGCUACCACAGCGCCUCCCACUUGGGCACCAGCAACUGCUCCAGCUGCGUCCAUGACCCGGCCAGCAGCCUGAAAAAUGGUUACCCGCUAGUCUACCCCACUCACCCGCUCCACACUGCCCUCUCUUCCAGUGCCACCCCGAGCCUGCCAGGCCACCCGCUCUACACCUACGGCUUCAUGAUCCAAAACGAUGCCCUCAGCCACAUAUGCAACUGGGUGUCGGCCAGUGGACCCUGCGACAAGAGGUUUGCCACCUCGGAGGAACUCUUGGCCCACUUACGGACCCACACCACUCUGCCUGGGGCGGAGAAACUCUUAGCUGGGUACCCUACCUCUGGCCUGGGCACAGCGGCUUCAUGCCACCUCCAUCUGCCACCCACUGCCCCUGGCAGCCCCAGCUCUUUACCUGGCUCCUUUUCCUUGAGAAGCCCGCACACUUUGGGACUAAGCCGGUACCAUCCUUAUGGCAAGAGCCAUUUGCCUGCAGCUGGGGCACUGUCGGUGCCCUCUUUACCCACUGCUGGACCCUACUACUCUCCUUAUGCCCUUUAUGGCCAAAGACUAACCUCAGCCUCCGCACUUGGAUACCAGUAACUCCAGCUUGCCACCCCCUGCGUCUUAUCGCCUCACCCUCCCUUAUGCCCUUGCCCAGGAUUUUGUAUUUAUUUACUGUAUGUUAGCUUAAAAAGCUGGGAAUCGAAGUGCAUUAAUACACCAAUGAAUCGAUGGUAUGCAAAAAAAAGUGUCUCCAAACCAACAAAAAUACCCAACUUAAUUUUUCAUUUUGCAGGUGUGUGGGGGGGGGUUCUUGAUGGUGGUUUUCUCUUCUUUUUCCCCUCUCCUUUUAUGUUUUAAAAACAAUAUCUCCCAGUCCCCGUGAACUGUUUUGCAUGAAUUUCAACAAAAUGCAUUUCUCCCUCUGCUCCUUUCUUUUGUUUUUAACCCUUUUUUUAAACAACAAAAAAAUUCAGUUUCUCUUCCUUUUGUAUAGUUACCAGAAAUGUAAUGUCUUUUAUUUCUUUUUCCCCCUUUGUAUCAUGUUCAAAGGAAAAAGGGUGGCGGGUGGUCAAGUCAAAAACGGGAGACGCCCACAGCUUUGUUCUAACGACAGGAUCAGAAGAGCGCCACCGUGGCAUAUGCCACCGCUUUGAUGCCAGGGUGCUGUGAGAAAGCGCCCUGGAUCGGUUGUGUGACUCCUGCUCUCCUAAAGUCAAUGUCUUUUCUCUCCUAUAAAGUCCAAGCUUGCCACACUUUCAGAGUUAGUGGAUGCCCAAGAAAGAGAGAGAGAAAGCCAGCUGGGAUGCCAAUCUGCCUGCUUACCUGGAUUUUGCUGAAGACACUGGCAUCCGGAAAGAAGGACAUUCCACCAGCGACGGCACACCUCUCCCUUUUUUCUUUGGUUCCUUUUUUCCUUCCUUUAAAAGGAUCUGGAUUUUAUUUUAUUUUUUUUAAAAAAGAAAAAGCAUUGGCAAACAUCCUUGAGGGACAGGAAUGGAAGAACUUUCUUUAUGUGCGCCAAAUGAAGAACUUUUGCUUAGCUUAGCUCAAGCUGGGAUUCUUUGCAAGGAGUCUCGCUCGCCCGUGGGGUGGCAAUGCCCCUCGACUGUAGACUCAAAUCUACAUACCAAAAAAAAAUAAUAAUAAUAAUAACAAUACCCAAACAAAAACAAAAUGACCACCUAAACCUCCCUAAUGGCCUCCAUUGCCCCAUUUCUCUUGACCAAUGGGAAUGGGACAGCCAUUAGGGUUUGGAGAGCCUCCCCAGUCCCCAGUCUAUCGCAGCAUGGAAGGCUGCAGAUCAUUUUUGGGUGAAUGAGCUCCGUUCUGAUUAACAUCUGGAAAACAAGCAUGGAAGAUUGCUAAGCUAUAUGACCACUGCGGCAAGACUCCUCCACACUCAAAGAUGGAAGGAUCCAAUGAUACCCAAACUAUCUGAUCAGAGAAAAAUCAUUAGCGGGAUUUUUGAAAGACCCUAAUUGUCUUUUUGCAGGAAAAAAAGAGAAUGCUAUGAUAACAGUACAUUUUGAUCAUUAGUAGGCUUGAAUUAAUAGAAGAAGUGUAUGAAAUAUUAUUUAUCUGAAGCAGUUAGACUUUAUAUAUUCAGAUUUAUAGCCACCAGGAAAGAAAGCCUGAAGUCAUAAUUUAAUUUUUCCUUUAUUGUUCCUGG